rnacentral:rRNA from 1 species
GUCUGUAGCCAUUCCCUGAUGGAUGUGCCUGAUCUCAUCUGAUCUGGAAGCUAAGCAGGGUUGGGACUGGUCAGUGCUCAAAUAGGAGAAUUCAUACUCAAACCACAUAUAUCUUUAAAGUUACAGCUU